AUGCUCAAAAUUCUCCAAGCCAGGCUUCAGCAAUACGUGAACCAUGAACUCCCUGAUGUUCAAGCUGGUUUUAGAAAAUGCAGAGGAACCAGAGAUCAAAUUGCCAACAUCCACUGGAUCAUGGAAAAAGCAAGAGAGUUCCAGAAAAACAUCUAUUUCUGCUUUAUUGACUAUGCCAAAGCCUUUGACUGUGGGGAUCACAAUAAACUGUGGAAAAUUCUGAAAGAGAUGGGAAUACCAGACCACCUGACCUGCCUCUUGAGCAAUCUGUAUGCAGGUCAGGAAGCAACAGUUAGAACUGGACAUGGAACAACAGACUGCUUCCAAAUAGGAAAAGGAGUACAUCAAGGCUGUAUAUUGUCAUCCUGCUUAUUUAACUUCUAUGCAGAGUGCAUCAUGAGAAAUGCUGGAGUGGAAGAAACACAAGCUGGGAUCAAGAUUGCUGGGGGAAAUAUCAAUAACCUCAGAUAUGAAGAUGACACCACCCUUAUGGCAGAAAAUGAAGAGGAACUAAAAAGCCUCUUGAUGAAAGUGAAAGAGGAGAGUGAAAAAGUUGGCUUCAAGCUCAACAUUCAGAAAAUGAAGAUCAUGGCAUCUGGUCCCAUCACUUCAUGGGAAAUAGAUGGGGAAACAGUGUCAGACUUUAUUUUUGGGGACUCCAAAAUCACUGCAGAUGGUGACUGCAGCCAUGAAAUUAAAAGACGCUUACUCCUUGGAAGAAAAGUUAUGACCAACCUAGAUAGCAUAUUCAAAAGCAGAGACAUUACUUUGCCAACUAAGGUCCGUCUAGUCAAGGCUAUGGUUUUCCCUGUGGUCGUGUAUGGAUGUGAGAGUUGGACUGUGAAGAAAGCUAAGCACCGAAGGAUUGAUGCUUUUGAACUGUGUUGUUGGAGAAGACUCUUGAGAGUCCCUUGGACUGCAAGGAGAUCCAACCAGUCCAUUCUGAAGGAGAUCAACCCUGGGAUUUCUUUGGAAGGAAUCAUGCUAAAGCUGAAGCUCCAGUACUUUGGCCACCUCAUGCGAAGAAUUGAUUCAUUGGAAAAGACUCUGAUGCUGGGAGGGAUUGAGGGAAGGAGGAGAAGGGGACGACUGAGGAUGAGAUGGCUGGCUGGCAUCACUGACUCUAUGGACGUGAGUCUGAGUGAACUCCGGGAGACAGUGAUGGACAGGGAGACCUGGCGUGCUGCAAUUCAUGGGGUCACAAAGGAUCAGACACAACUGAGGGACUGA
rnacentral:lncRNA from 1 species